rnacentral:lncRNA from 10 species
CCCCGCCCUCGGAGCGGCUGGCCGGCGCCGCUGGCCCCGGGGAGUGAGGGGCUUAGCACCCGGGCCAGCAGUUGCGAAGGGUGCGCGGGGUUCCCCAGCAGUGCCGGCCCUCGCGCGCGGCGCUCGAAUUCUCGCUGGGCGUCAGCUGCCUCCCCGCAGGGCAGGGCUCGGGACCUGCAGCCCGCCAUGCCCGAGCCUCCUCCCCGCCGUGGGCUACGCGCCGCCCGAGCCUCUUGAAGUCAGUGAGACCAAGAACCCGCCAAUUCCGGACACACUAUUAGAAGAUAAGCUCACAGCAGAGCAAACUUUAUUACUAUUUUAAACAUAAGGAAGCCGACUCUAUGAUGAAGAAUUAGCACAGGUUAUGUGGCUGGCAAUUGCUGGAUUCUUCAGUAGAACUCCUGAUUCUAGAUGUUCUAUUAUAGUGGAAAUAUCUCUGCGAUAAGAAGACAUGGAUUCUAGCUCCAUCUCCAGAACUUAGGAGCCAGGAUUCACUUAAAGGAGACACGGGCUGUGCUGGCUUCUCAGAUUUGCAAAAGAUCAAUGUCUCCAAGUACCCAAAACUUACCUGGGGUUUUCAAGAUUAUGCAGCUAGGUGCAGUGCCUGCUAUGAAGCACACACAAUGCUUAUCUGCUGCUCCAUUGGAAAGCCAAUAGCAAAGAAGGGAAAGGACCUUCUGAUUGGAGAGUGGAGGAGUGAGUUAGAAGAUGGUUUUAUGUUUACUGCAAUGCCCUUUGUCCUCAUCAGAACUGUGAAGUGGAAUUUGAUUUUGAUGCACUCUUUAACAAGGAUGCUUUGUGUUAUCCAUGCAAUCCCCUACUACUCUGAACCAUAACAUACACAUGCUACAUCCCAAAAGCCAGAACCCCCAAAAAUGGGUUGUUCCUGGUUUCAGCUUCUAAGAUCUAGCUUUCUUUCUCUCAGAGUCUCAUUUAUCCUUUUCUCCCAAAGGCAAAGCUGUUUUUAUCUGAUUACUUGAUUUCUAUGAAAAUUUUAGUGCAUUUUAAUGACUUUGUAGUUUAUCUGACCCAGAUAACAUGCACUUUAAUAGGAAACUUUUACAGAGACAGUGUCUUAACCAAAAGAAUGACUUAAUGACGAAAUUUCAGGUAGAUGUUUGUUCACAUUGAGGGAGGCUAACUAACCAAGUCGAGUAGAGGAUGAACAAGGUUUAGG